CAAGAUUCUUGAAAUGACUUAUAAAUUAGGAUGGAGGGAGUAAUAAAAAGGCAAAAUUUCUCAUCGUUUUGGAUUUUGGUCGAGCCCAACUAUUCGCUUGUUUCGGUCUAAAAUUAAUUGGUUUAGAGCAACUCCAGCCCACCUCCUAAACAAGCCCCUAUUCUGAAUCUAGGGACUUGAUAAAAAAAUCAACUCCAACCCACCUCCUACUUGAGCUCCCAUUUUUCAUGUCCUCCCAAAUUAUAGUUUCAGCCCCUCACAUCUAGAACCCCCUAUCCAAUGGAUCGCACCAACUUUCCUCUCCCCACCCAUAAUCAAGACAAGAAUAUGUGAGAUAAGGCCUUGGUCUAUUUUUUUUCAUUGGAGUUGGGUCUUAAUUUGAGUCCUUAGUUCUUUUAUCAUAGUUUGUAAAUAAAAGUUUAAGGGCUUCAUUUAGAGACUUGGGCUGGAGUUGCUCUUAAACUUGUGUUAGGCUUCAAGUUAGAUUUAGCCUAUAACUUUUUUUCUCUAACCCAAUUGGACCAGAAGUCCUCGUGUCAUAAACAGAAAAUAAGCUAAAAAUAAUAGGAAACCAGAUCCGAAUGAGAUGAGCAUUAUUUAAUUAAUCUUUAGACCGGCGGAUAUAUAAAGAUAUAGUGGACUGAAAUUUUCACAAUUAUAUAUUAGAGAAAGACUUAUUUCUUAGUAUUUUUUCUUUACUUAUUUUUUUUGUUGUUAUGUAGUAAAAAGGCAGUCUAUUAAUAGAACUCGUUCCAGAGUUUGAUUCCUAGUGUUAGUUAGGAAAAGACGUCGGAUGUGGAAGAUUUUCUUUUUUGCCGUAACUGAUUUCCAUUUGUAAGAUUUUUUGUGGUAACUUUUUUUUUUGCCGUAAUUGGUUUUCUUUUUUUUCCUCCCAUUUGUUUUUUAUGGUACUUUUUUACGUGGGGAGGGUUUGAUUUUUUUUUUUUGCCGUAGUUGUUUUCCUUUUUUGUCGUAUUUUUUAGAUUGAAAACGGGAAGUUGGGUUUUUUUUAGAACUUUUUUUGGCGUAUUUUUUUCCUGGAUUGGAUUGGAAACGGGAAUGUUACCGUGAGUUAGAAUUGGAUACGAAUUGAGCUGGUCAUCGAAGAGUGCUGGAUGUAAAAAUCGUGUCGUGUGCGGGAUGUGCGGAUCGGAUACCGUAUCAACAUGGAUAGAGUCGAGACAACGUCAGCUCGCAGCUGGCCCGUGAGAACCACCAACCACGCCGAUAGUUGCACGUCUCCGAAGUGCACGUACGGAGACCGCACCGCCCCCGGGGUAAGGCGGACAGAAAGGUGGACCGAAGAGGGUGGACAGAAUUUUUUGGGCAGACUGAAAUUUUCACAAUUUAGUAGUAGGUAUAGAAGUCUCAAAAUACAUUUUUGGUUCCUUGAAAUUGUAACAGAUCUCGUCUAGAUUUCAGCGGAUCUCAUCUAGAUUCCAACGGAUGUUUCACCGACCCGCUAUCCUACAUGAUAUGGAUCUAAUACAUGGGACCCACAUGUCAGGGGCAAGUUUUCAUCUUAGAAAAAUCAUAUAUUUUUUAUAUGAUCUUGGGCAAAGGUAAUUGUUUUAUAAAACCACCGUCCCCUAUGAGAUCUACGAUUUUCUAGUUUUGAGUUUUUUUGAUUUAAUAUUGUUAAUAUGCUAAAAAAUAAUAUAAAAUUUGAGCAGCAUAUUAAUCACAUAUUAGUGCUUGUUGCCUUAGAAAAAACAUAUAUUUCUUGUAUAAUAUCAGAUAAAGGUAUUCAAAUUGUAGCUCUCGUUUGGAUCUACAAAUUUCUAGCUUUGAGUUUUAUUAUUUAAGGUCGUUAAGAUGCUCAAAAAAUAAUAUAAAGUUUCAGCAGUAUAGUAAUCACAUAUCAAGCCUUGCCGCUUAUGAAAAUCAAGAAAUUUGUAUAAAGUUGCGAAUAUCUUUGAGAGGUAUUUCAUAGAUAAAAUACCUUUUUCGGACAACAUACAAGAAAUAUAUGAUUUUCUAACAAGCUUUAGUGCGCUGUUAAUAUAUUGCUG
rnacentral:lncRNA from 1 species